rnacentral:rRNA from 1 species
GACGAACGCUGGCGGCGUGCCUAAUACAUGCAAGUCGAGCGGACCGAACAGGAGCUUGCUCUUGUUCGGUUAGCGGCGGACGGGUGAGUAACACGUGGGUAACCUGCCCGUAAGACCGGGAUAACUCCGGGAAACCGGAGUUAAUACCGGAUAACACCGAAGACCGCAUGGUCUUUGGUUGAAAGGCGGCUUCGGCUGCCACUUACGGAUGGGCCCGCGGCGCAUUAGCUCGUUGGUGAGGUAACGGCUCACCAAGGCGACGAUGCGUAGCCGGCCUGAGAGGGUGACCGGCCACACUGGGACUGAGACACGGCCCAGACUCCUACGGGAGGCAGCAGUAGGGAAUCUUCCGCAAUGGACGAAAGUCUGACGGAGCGACGCCGCGUGAGCGAAGAAGGUCUUCGGAUCGGAAAGCUCUGUUGUUAGGGAAGAAGAAGCGUCGUGCGAACAGGGCGGCGCGGUGACGGUACCUAACGAGAAAGCCCCGGCUAACUACGUG